rnacentral:lncRNA from 1 species
ACUUAGGCACUCAAUCAUCUCGAUCAUAUACAAUACAUGAUCAGUGACUGAUGCUCCUUCCUUCAUUCGAGUGUUGAAGAUAGCAUAACUAGUCUUAUGCCUCUCAACGUCGUCGGGUGUGCUAAAGGACUCGUUCAACAUUUGCAACAUAUCCUAUGGCUGAGCAUUCUUGAAAUGAUGGCUAAACUCAUCAUUCAUCACCACCAGCAUAAUACAAUGAAUCGUAGUUCG